GGGGAGUGGCAGACGGGUGAGUAACGCGUGGGAAUCUACCGUGCCCUGCGGAAUAGCUCCGGGAAACUGGAAUUAAUACCGCAUACGCCCUACGGGGGAAAGAUUUAUCGGGGUAUGAUGAGCCCGCGUUGGAUUAGCUAGUUGGUGGGGUAAAGGCCUACCAAGGCGACGAUCCAUAGCUGGUCUGAGAGGAUGAUCAGCCACAUUGGGACUGAGACACGGCCCAAACUCCUACGGGAGGCAGCAGUGGGGAAUAUUGGACAAUGGGCGCAAGCCUGAUCCAGCCAUGCCGCGUGAGUGAUGAAGGCCUUAGGGUUGUAAAGCUCUUUCACCGGUGAAGAUAAUGACGGUAACCGGAGAAGAAGCCCCGGCUAACUUCGUGCCAGCAGCCGCGGUAAUACGAAGGGGGCUAGCGUUGUUCGGAAUUACUGGGCGUAAAGCGCACGUAGGCGGAUAUUUAAGUCAGGGGUGAAAUCCCAGAGCUCAACUCUGGAACUGCCUUUGAUACUGGGUAUCUUGAGUAUGGAAGAGGUAAGUGGAAUUGCGAGUGUAGAGGUGAAAUUCGUAGAUAUUCGCAGGAACACCAGUGGCGAA
rnacentral:rRNA from 1 species